rnacentral:rRNA from 1 species
AUUGAACGCUGGCGGCAGGCCUAACACCUGCAAGUCGAGCGAGCGGCUGACGGGUUAGUAAUGUCUGGGAAACUGCGUGAUGGAGAGGGAUAACUACUGGCAACGGUUGCUAAUCCCGCAUACCAUCUGAUUUGCCCAGAUGGGAUUAGCUAGGUGGUGGGGUAACGGCUCACCUAGGCGACGAUCCCUAGCUGGUCUGAGAGGAGGACCAGCCACACUGGAACUGAGACACGGUCCAGACGCCUACGGGAGGCGGCAGUGGGGAAUAUUGCACAAUGGGCGCAAGCCUGAUGCAGCCAUGCCGCGUGUGGUAAGAAGGCCUUCGGGUUGUAAAGCACUUUCAGCGGGGAGGCGUUACCCGCAGAAGAAGCACCGGCUAACUCCGUGCCAGCAGCCGCGGUAAUAC